rnacentral:lncRNA from 1 species
UUUUUCUUUCUUUUAUCCUCUCCGCAAUCCCUAGCCCCCAAGAACUACACUUGCCGCUAUUGGAACUCUAAUAGAUAGCUUUACAAUCUCACAAAAUAGUAAAAUCCUCCAGUUUUGUAACCAUAACAUAUAUAUAUAUACCGAAGAACUAUAGCUUGAAAAUUUUUCUUACGAUUCUGGUCUUUAUCUCUGUCAAUGAGGGAUCUUACGAGAGAUUUACGGUUAUAAUAAAUUCAAUGUAAGAAUUGACGCCGAGGAUGCUGAAUCGAAGAGGCAACGUCAUAUGGUGAAGUAUAAUUCUUAUGCUUUUGUUUCGUAAACUGAAAUUGUUAUUGAUGAACUAGUUUAGUUUGACGAAGAACAAAUGAAAGAAAAAAAAAAGGCAAAAGGAAAAUUAAUUGGGGGGAAGAAGGGAUGUUUUUUUGCCUGAAAUCUUUCUUUUGUUGAGGGGAAGUAAUUGUAAUUGAUUUAUUAAAAGGUUAGUUGACGUGUGUUUAUGGGAUGAUUUUCAUUGGCCAUUUUUGUUCCAUGGAGACGUUGAAUUCUGAAUAAGAAGUUGAUGAUGGUGGUAGAGAGUUCGUGAGAAUCAAGAGGGGACUGAGG